UCUCAUUUAUACGACACAAUCCCUACCUCUACCGUGUCCUUACAACUCCAUAGUUGCGCCAGUUUGAAUAAAUUUCCUUAAAACGUG
rnacentral:sRNA from 1 species